UCGGGCAAACGUUAGGGAACAGGUGCCACGAAAAAAAAAAACUCACAUGAGAGUUUGAUGGAAAAUGAGAAGAAAAAAAAUAUACCUCAGUGAAUAAUAAAUGUCAAACCUCCGAGCAGAUCCUGGGUGUAAUUUGGAGCGAGCUGGAUCGAACUACAGUUCCAUCUGCGAUGCCGAAACGUCUGUUGGCAGACGGUCGCUGUAUCUUUUGCAGCCUCGACCAGGUUGGGCAUGACAUCGGGCGCCGCGCGACACACCCUGGCCUGUUUUCGCUCCAAAAGUCCGGAACUCCUGGCCCCGGAAUUCAAGGACUUCGAUGUACGCCGAACGUUUUGCCUUCGCAGAGGACGGAAAAGACGCGCGAUAUUUCAGGCUUUGCCAAAGAGCGGGGAAUUCCUACUCACUCCAGGAACGUUUCACCCGGCGUAAUGCCCACGAUCUGGUUCUACCGACACGAAAGGGCGAUUUAGGAAAAGGGGUGAUAGAUGCGAGGGAAAGAAAAACGCGGUUGAUGAACUACGGGCGGAGUGAUGGCCGUUUCGCGUGCCUGCAGACUACGCCAAAACCCCCAAGACCAAUUCCCUCCCGUCCUGCAGCGAAGGUAUUUUGAGCUUGAUGUGGUGGGCAGGGCGAUCCCGAAGGGGAGAAGAUUGGAGGAUGAAGGACCGUCCGGAGGAUAAGCUGGAUCUAAGUGAAAGAUGAUCUAGCGGUCGAAGAUUAUGAUAUAGGAGACCACCGACGUACCCUAUUUAUUUGUUUCUCAUUAAGCCGACUACAUUAAUCUUGGACCGUUUCGUUCCAUCAUCGCCAAUGAUCGUUCCUCGAUGUAUUUCUUCUUGCUUAUGCGAUAUUUAUAUCGAGCAGAGGGGACCGUAAGAGGGUAUGAGAAGGAGAAGAGAAAGAGAAAUUUUCGUGCUUGCGUAAUCCUAACAAUCGUCGUGUUCUCGAGUGCCAUUAUGUAUCUAUACUUACAACCACUUGAUGCACGUUCCAUCCUGAACGACAAGUACAAGGGCGAUGAAAGAGAUUUGGAAUAAAUUUAAGUUGGUGCGCCGAUUCCCGGGUUCCGAAAGCAUCUUCGAUGAUGAUUAUUGUGAAUUAAUUCUUUCUCACAUCUUUGUAGGGGGAUUUUCGAAAAGUCGGACGAUGUUUUGUAACGAAGGCGAUCGUCGGCACCCUCAUUCCGCGAGGUGCGGUUCCCUCUUAUCCUGCACACUGGUCCCGAUCCCGCUAGCCGAGCUGCACUUUUUCAUUAUACGUUUAUUCGGCAAAGUCCGAUGACCUUACCGAGGGCUGCACUCCUCUAUACAACUCCACUGCACCUCGAGUCUCCGAGCUUCUUCGAUACGACGACGGUGAGAUUGGAAUUAAAUUUCAACGUUCUAAUUAUCAAAGAAAAUAGUAUUCACUAACAAGCACUUCGAAUGUUCGAUUUCUGAUUUAUUCGUCAAAAUUGAUGGCGAUUAAUAUAAAUUUGUCAUGUACGUUUUGUUUCGAUCUUCGAAGGGGUCCCAAAUUUAUCCAGCGAUCCUUGCUGUCCGAGGACCGAAGGAGAAAGAUGCGGACUUUGCCUCGCGUAGCGAUGCGACGGCGUGUGUCCUCUUCUUGCAAAGUGCGGAUAUGUCUGCGCACGUUUCGUCGCCCAACGCCGUUGUAG
rnacentral:misc_RNA from 1 species